UACAGAGGUCUCAAGCGUUGCUCGGAUUCAUUGGGCGUAAAGGGUGCGUAGGCGGCGUGGUAAGUCGGAUGUGAAAUCUCGGAGCUUAACUCCGAAACUGCAUUCGAUACUGCCGUGCUUGAGGACUGGAGAGGAGACUGGAAUUUACGGUGUAGCGGUGAAAUGCGUAGAUAUCGUAAGGAAGACCAGUGGCGAAGGCGGGUCUCUGGACAGUUCCUGACGCUGAGGCACGAAGGCCAGGGGAGCAAACGGG
rnacentral:rRNA from 1 species